GACGGAGGAUGCAAGUGUUAUCCGGAAUCACUGGGCGUAAAGCGUCUGUAGGUGGUCAAAUAAGUCAACUGUUAAAUCUUGAGGCUCAACCUCAAAUCGCAGUCGAAACUAUUAGACUAGAGUAUAGUAGGGGUAAAGGGAAUUUCCAGUGGAGCGGUGAAAUGCGUAGAGAUUGGAAAGAACACCGAUGGCGAAGGCACUUUACUGGCUAUUACUAACACUCAGAGACGAAAGCUAGGUAGCA
rnacentral:rRNA from 1 species